GUCCAAUGCUCGUUUACUUUUCGCCCAUUAAAAAUCGCAAUCACGAUACAACGAUAAAGUUUUCAGCUCACGUCGCUCGCACUCAAAAAAGAAUUGUGGGAGAGACUGGGAAAGGGGCAGGGAGGCGCGGAGAAGAAUACGAGAGAAGAAGGGUCUACCGAGUGCAUUCGACCUUUUUAAAUUAAAUAAAGGAAAAUAACAAAAGUUAUGCACUACCAAAGGUGCCCCAUUUUGUUAGCCCAUCCUGUUUACCCAACUCUUUAAUGGUGCGCAAAGUCGCAGAAAAUUAACAAUAAAUACCAUUCAUUGACACGUCAGUGGGGGUAAAAGUGAAUGUCGCCAGCGGAACGCGAAUGUCCUCCAGUGGCAAUCCCUUGACCAAAACCGUUGGAGCUCGAGGUGUAUAAAAAUCAGAAAUUCAAAGCGGAUAGCCGACAGCGCCGGCGAAAGAGACGGAUGCAGAAGAUGAGAAAGAGGCGGCGAUAUAGAAGCGACAAGGAACGCGCGCCAAGCGACGUUCCUGGAUUGACAAUGGAAUCCACCUGCCCCCUUUUACCUGAACUUCACUCUUGGGACCCGUGUUCCUUUGUAAUUUUCAACCAGAUUGAAAUCUCGAUCGGAGCAGCUAAAGCUAAUGAAAUCUUUUGUGGCCUGCUCUUCAUUUUCUACAACUUGUAAUUCUUGUCGUGGUCCCACGAACCGGAUUCGGUUUUAACAACACUUUCGUUGGUUUUAUUCGAACUGCUAUUUUCGUUUUACUAAAUACAGGUUAGAUUGCACAUGCCCCUAAGUGACAGAGGAGCAUUUAAAAUAAAUUACCUUUUUCGGUUAAUUGUUGACACAACAUUCUUGCGGUCGAGUCAAUAAAUUCCCCAAAAACAAGAUUUAAUUGUCAAGGCUUCCGAAGUGGUGAGAAUUUGAGUCAGUAUUGCAUAUUUGCAAGUGAGUAUCACCAACUUUUUUAAAAAGAUGCUUAGCUGUUAGGACCAAGGAUACUCUAAAAAUGUACCUUUUUUUAAUACUGCUGUGAUAAGUUUAGUGCAUUUAAUUUUAAGAUUUAAGUCAAUCAAUCGUGGAAAGAAGCG